rnacentral:rRNA from 1 species
UACAGAGGGGCAAGCGUUAUUCGGAAUUAUUGGGUCGUAAAGGGCGCGUGAGGCGGCUUGGCAAGUUGGAUGGAUGAAAUCCCUCGGCUUAACCGAAGGAACUGCCGUCCAAACUUGCGUUAGCUUAGAGACCGGGAGAGGUGAGUGGAAUUCCCAGUGUAGCGGUGAAAUGCGUAGAUAUUGGGAGGAACACCAGUGGCGAAGGCGGCUCACUGGACCGGUACUGACGCUGAGGCGCGAAAGCG